UACGUAGGGUGCAAGCGUUGUCCGGAAUUAUUGGGCGUAAAGAGCUCGUAGGCGGUUUGUUGCGUCGGCUGUGAAAUCCCGAGGCUCAACCUCGGGUCUGCAGUCGAUACGAGCAAACUAGAGUGUUGCAGGGGAGACUGGAAUUCCUGGUGUAGCGGUGAAAUGCGCAGAUAUCAGGAGGAACACCGGUGGCGAAGGCGGGUCUCUGGGCCGAUACUGACGCUGAGGAGCGAAAGCGUGGGGAGCGAACAGGAU
rnacentral:rRNA from 1 species